rnacentral:misc_RNA from 1 species
AAUAAAAAUAAAAAUUAAAAAAAAGAAAACCAAUGACUAAAAAGAAUUAACAUUCUUGUAAUUUGCCAACAUAAUCUUUAACUAUAUAUUUUGACAUAUCUUACAAAUCUAAACUUCACAUACAAAUCUAACAAUGCUACUAUCAUUAAUACCUCUAAGUUUUCAUUUGACACCCAUAAUACAUUAAACAAUGACAAAUUUUAAUAGUAAUAAGGAGAGAGUGUGGAAGAACAAAAUCGCUUGAUCUAGUCAAAUGGCUAAAAAUUUUGAUGCAACACGAGCAUCAAAAAGAAAUUUGAAAGGUAUUGAUAUUAGUAGUGAGGUUGUAUCAUCGUGAAUGAUGAUGGAUCAGUCAGAAAUAGGG